rnacentral:rRNA from 1 species
AUUGAACGCUGGCGGCAGGCCUAACACAUGCAAGUCGAACGAGUGGCGGACGGGUGAGUAAUGUCUGGGAAACUGCCUGAUGGAGGGGGAUAACUACUGGAAACGGUAGCUAAUACCGCAUACCAUCAGAUGGGCUCAGAUGGGAUUAGCUUGUUGGUGGGGUAACGGCCCACCAAGGCGACAAUCCCUAGCUGGUCUGAGAGGGUGACCGCCAACACUGGAACUGAGACACGGCCCAGACGCCUACGGGAGGCAGCAGUGGGGAAUAGUGCACAAUGGGCGCAAUCCUGAUGCAGCCAUGCCGCGUGUAUGAAGAAGGCCUUCGGGUUGUAAAGUACUUUCAGCGGGGAGGCGUUACCCGCAGAAGAAGCACCGGCUAACUCCGUGCCAGCAGCCGCGGUAAUUC